ensembl:lncRNA LINC02053 long intergenic non-protein coding RNA 2053
AGAUUACCCAGGCCUUGCACCUGGAUCAAUGGGCUGCCCUAAUGAAGGAUAUCAAAAAUGAAGGGGCAGCUAAAGAAAAAUAAAAGACACCUCAGAAAGUAGCCUGCCUCUUUGACAAGGGACAUGCCUUCAGAGGAACAUAACAGAAACCUCUGAGAAUUGUCAACAAUAAAAAGACUGAGCAACAAGGGAAACUGGUAGGAAGCCAAAGGUUUUAAGAGGUGAGAGUGGAGAAAUGCUGUGCUUUUAUUGAUCCUCUCCAAAGGAACACCUUUAAAAAAGAUUCCUGCAUUCUCUCAGUGGGAAAGGCUACACCUGAACUCAGAUCCUCAGACUUGUGACUCUUUUCCCCAAGCAGAAGGGUGUGAAACUUCCCACAGGCUUCAAGUUCUCCAGAUGCUGGGCAGCUGAAUUUCACAGAAAUCUGAAAAUAGCUGCCAUCUAUACUCAGACUGUUUGGCACCCAAAUAGUUUGUCCCUCUAUGACCCCACUCCCAACUCAUAAGAUUGCUUUCAGGGGCCUCGUCUCUUGAAUAUAACCCUCCUACAUAUGGCCCUUUGCCCCAGAUUGCUUUUCUGUAAGAUGAUGAGAGGACAGGGGUCUGUACUCCCCUUCAUACUGGUUCCCACAUCCUAAGUUUUUUAAUAAAGCCUUUUCCUUAAUGUGUA